UGGUCGAACAGAACAAGAGGGGGCGACCAGGGUUUUCUUUUCAAACCCAAUUUCUCACAAAAGCUCAAAAUUGGAAGCCUAAAUCAAGUCUAAAUCAAUUUUCGAGCAUAGAUUCAUGAUCACCUAGUUGAAAGGAUCAUAAGGCAAAGAGUCCGGAUCGCCAAGCGGACAAGCCGUAGGGAAUACGCGUGGGAAAUGUGUGCUCUAAAGGUAAAGAUGCUCUUUAGACUCCGGAGGAUGAUCAAGCCAUGUCAAGAACCGAACACACCGAACAAAGCUUCCGCAUUUUGUCUGUUUUGUUUUAGUGACAUGUAA
rnacentral:lncRNA from 1 species